rnacentral:ncRNA from 1 species
CGACCUCAGAUGAGACGAGACGACCCGCUGAAUUGAAGUAUAUAAAUAAGCGGAGGAAAAAAAACCAACAGGGACUCCCUUAGUAGCGGCGAGCGAACCGGGAUGAGCCGUCACGGAUGAGCCC